UACGUAGGCAGCGAGCGUUGUUCGGAGUUACUGGGCGUAAAGCGUGCGUAGGCGGUGUCUUAAGUUUGUUGUGAAAUCUCCCGGCUUAACCGGGAGGGUGCGGCGAAUACUGAGAUGCUGGAGUGCCGGAGAGGUAAGCGGAAUUCCUGGUGUAGCGGUGAAAUGCGUAGAUAUCAGGAGGAACACCUGCGGUGUAGACGGCUUACUGGACGGUAACUGACGCUGAGGCACGAAAGCGUGGGUAGCAAACAGG
rnacentral:rRNA from 3 species